rnacentral:rRNA from 1 species
AUUGAACGCUGGCGGCAUGCCUUACACAUGCAAGUCGAACGGUAACGGGCCUUCGGGUGCCGACGAGUGGCGAACGGGUGAGUAAUACAUCGGAACGUGCCCGAUCGUGGGGGAUAACGAGGCGAAAGCUUUGCUAAUACCGCAUACGAUCUACGGAUUAAAGCAGGGGACCGCAAGGCCUUGCGCGGACGGAGCGGCCGAUGGCCGAUUAGGUAGUUGGUGGGAUAAAAGCUUACCAAGCCGACGAUCUGUAGCUGGUCUGAGAGGAUGAUCAGCCACACUGGGACUGAGACACGGCCCAGACUCCUACGGGAGGCAGCAGUGGGGAAUUUUGGACAAUGGGCGCAAGCCUGAUCCAGCCAUGCCGCGUGCAGGAUGAAGGCCUUCGGGUUGUAAACUGCUUUUGUACGGAACGAAAAGCCUUCUUUUAAUACAGGAGGGUCAUGACGGUACCGUAAGAAUAAGCACCGGCUAACUACGUG